GCCAUCAUUUAAAGAAAGCGUAAUAGCUCACUGGUCGAGUCGGCCUGCGCGGAAGAUGUAACGGGGCUAAACCAUGCACCGAAGCUGCGGCAGCGACGCUGAUGCGUUGUUGGGUAGGGGAGCGUUCUGUAAGCCUGUGAAGGUGGCCUGUGAGGGUUGCUGGAGGUAUCAGAAGUGCGAAUGCUGACAUAAGUAACGAUA
rnacentral:rRNA from 1 species